rnacentral:rRNA from 1 species
GAGUUUGAUCAUGGCUCAGAACGAACGUUGGCGGCGUGGAUUAGGCAUGCAAGUCGAACGAAUCCCAGGGGGGUAACUCUCUGGGGGAAGUGGCGAAAGGGGCAGUAAAAAAAAAGUAACGUACCCCGGGGACCGGGAUAGCCUCUCUAACGAGAGGGUAAUACCGGGCGAUUCAGCGGAGGGGCAUCUCUCUGCUGGGAAAUGAAUUUCGCCUCGGGAGCGGCUCACGUGCUAUUACCUAGUUGGCGGGGUAACGGCCCACCAAGGGGAAGAUGGCUAGCAGGUGUGAGAGCACGACCUGCGCCACUGGCACUGAGACACUGGCCAGACUCCUACGGGAGGCUGCAGUCGAGGAUCUUCGGCAAUGGGCGCAAGCCUGACCGAGCGACGCCGCGUGCGCGAUGAAGGCCUUCGGGUUGUAAAGCGCUGUCGAGGGGGAGGAAGCCGCAAGGUUGAGCUAUCCCUGGAGGAAGCACGGGCUAAGUUCGUGCCAGCAGCCGCGUACAAGGGCG